UCAGGGUGAACGCUGGCGGCGUGCUUAACACAUGCAAGUUGCGCGGUGAUCUCAAGAAGUUUCGGACGGAAAGGGAGAGCAGCAGCGGACGGGUGAGUAAAGCACAAGGACUUGUCCCGAAGAGGGGGACAACUGUGGGAAACCACAGCUAAUACCCCAUAAGCCGAGAGGUGAAAGCAGCGAUGCGCUUUAGGAGAGACUUGUGUCCUAUCAGGUAGUUGGUGAGGUAACGGCUCACCAAGCCGAAGACGGGUAGCCGGACUGAGAGGUUGUACGGCCACAUUGGGACUGAGAGACGGUCCAGACUCCUACGGGAGGCAGCAGUGGGGAAUAUUGGGCAAUGGGGGCAACCCUGACCCAGCGACGCCGCGUGAGGGAAGACAGCCUUCGGGUUGUAAACCUCUGUUGCAGGGGAAGAAGAAAGUGACGGUACCCUGCGAGGAAGCUCCGGCAAACUACGUGCCAGCCGCCGC
rnacentral:rRNA from 1 species